rnacentral:rRNA from 1 species
GACGAACGCUGGCGACGUGCUUAACACAUGCAAGUCGAACGGAAAGGCCCUGCUUUUGUGGGGUGCUCGAGUGGCGAACGGGUGAGUAACACGUGAGUAACCUGCCCUUGACUUUGGGAUAACUUCAGGAAACUGGGGCUAAUACCGGAUAGGAGCUCCUGCUGCAUGGUGGGGGUUGGAAAGUUUCGGCGGUUGGGGAUGGACUCGCGGCUUAUCAGCUUGUUGGUGGGGUAGUGGCUUACCAAGGCUUUGACGGGUAGCCGGCCUGAGAGGGUGACCGGCCACAUUGGGACUGAGAUACGGCCCAGACUCCUACGGGAGGCAGCAGUGGGGAAUAUUGCACAAUGGGCGGAGGCCUGAUGCAGCAACGCCGCGUGCGGGAUGACGGCCUUCGGGUUGUAAACCGCUUUCGCCUGUGACGAAGCGUGAGUGACGGUAAUGGGUAAAGAAGCACCGGCUAACUACGUG